rnacentral:lncRNA from 1 species
CGCGCCUCCUCCUGCUCGCAGCCCCCUACGCCCACCCGGCGGCGGUGGCCAGCGCCAGGACGCACAUCCCGCGGACACCGACCCCAGAUGUAAAGCGGGACCCCAGCCCCUCGCCCCCCGGCGCGAUCGACAGUCUCGCCAGCGUCUCCUCUGCCAAAACCCAGGGCUGGAAGAUGUGGCAGCCGGCCACGGAGCGCCUGCAGCCGCCUGCUCUGCCUGGGGGAUCAUACUCCUGUCAGCCGCCUGCCCUGCCCAGGGGAUCAUACUCCUGUCAGCCACCUGCCCUGCCUGGGGGAUCAUACUCCUGUCAUAGCAGUUGAAGUUGCCCCUCUUCUGCCAAAGUCUUUCCUGGUAUCCAGUUGCAAUGAGUCAUCCCUUUCUUCUGGGUGUCCACAGUUUGUUCUUCUGCUUCAGUUAUACCAUUCAGCUCAUUCUUGUUUUUCUUUUUAUUGGAAUUAUGUGUGGACUUCUAUCUUCCAAAAGCCUAGAAGCUGAGGGCUGGGUCUUUGUUCAUCUUUGUGUGCCCCAUUGCACAUGGAAUAAUACUUGGAAUACAAGGCCGGCAACACCAUACAAGCUCAGUGAAUAUAUUUAUGUCAUGCUUCAAUAAACUAAUGAUAUUUUAUAAUUUAUUUUUUGUCAUCUCUCUUAAUUUCUGUGGAUGGAAAGGUAAGAGAUAGAGUGGCAUAAUGAGCAUGCUAAGAGAAGAAUUUUACUUUUGUGUUGAGAGAGGUAUUUUUCUUACAUUUAUCUUUAGAGCCACAUGUUAAUGGGGGAAAAUGCACAAUUCUAUGUGUUUAUAUUAAACUUUUUUGAAAUGUGUUCUGGAUUUUCUUGACAUUUAAAUAAAGAUAUUAUACAUUGCAGAUAGCUUGUACCCAAGUUAUUUCUACUUACUAUUAGGGACAUUCCCUUUGUUAUAUUUAAUUUCAGGAAUGCAAGAGAUGGCAAUAGUUGGAGCUAUUCAUAAAUGGCAAUUAAUUAAAAAUAUAAAACAUAGAAUCUGUCUUGUUCAGAGUUGCAUCUGUUUUCUGGUGGGCUUUCAGAUGG